UUGUUUUUAAAGACCUAGUAUAGGUAUGCUUAGGGAGGAGCUUGCGUCACAUUAGUUAGUUGGUGGGGUAAAGGCCUACCAAGACUAUGAUGUGUAGCCGGGCUGAGAGGUUGAACGGCCACAUUGGGACUGAGACACGGCCCAAACUCCUACGGGAGGCAGCAGUAGGGAAUUUUCGGCAAUGGAGGAAACUCUGACCGAGCAACGCCGCGUGAACGAUGAAGUAUUUCGGUACGUAAAGUUCUUUUAUUAGGGAAGAAUAAAUGAUGGAAAAAUCAUUCUGACGGUACCUAAUGAAUAAGCCCCGGCUAACUAUGUGCCAGCAGCCGCGGUAAUACAUAGGGGGCAAGCGUUAUCCGGAAUUAUUGGGCGUAAAGGGUGCGUAGGCGGUUAAAUAAGUUUAUGGUCUAAGUGCAAUGCUCAACAUUGUGAUGCUAUAAAAACUGUUUAGCUAGAGUAAGAUAGAGGCAAGUGGAAUUCCAUGUGUAGUGGUAAAAUGCGUAAAUAUAUGG
rnacentral:rRNA from 1 species